rnacentral:lncRNA from 1 species
AUGAGUUGUUGAGGACUCUUGUCUAGUUUCCUUCUAGAGGAUAAGAAAUGGGACUAGACUUGUAUAAUUUGUUAAAACUCUUUAGAGGCUAGUAUAUUUUUUAUAGGUUAUCUCUUUUGAUUUGUAUAUAAGUAUAGAUAACCUAAUGCCUCAGUGUACAAUUUUUUUGUAGGUUGUAUUGGGAUGAAUAGUUCUACUGCUAUGUACAUAUCUUUAUUUAUGUGUGCUCUAUUAAACGUUGGUGCCUCACUUGGCAUCGAGACAUUGCAUUUUAUAUUUAUAGCUAAUUUUUAAUGCUUAAGUAAUUAUAAUUAUAAUUUAAUUAAUGACAUGUGUACAAUAUUCAAAUUUUUUUGUUGGCACAAGAUAUAAAUAAAAAGUUUAUACUAAUAGAGAAAAAUAUCUUACCUAUUUUACAAAUAGAGAUUUUCUGUUUAUAUCCAAAAUUUAUGUAUUUUUCUUUUAGUGAAAACAAAAUGCUUUUUGAUUGCUCAGUAAUAAUGUUGCAGGUAAAAUGAGUAUACUAAAUUAAAUGUUAUGGAUUUUGCAUAUCUAUCUUGUCCAAAACUAGACACUAAAAAACAUGAACCUUAUUACCCAUUAUUAAUUACCCUUUUUUUUGUUUCUAUUUAGUUAAAAUAACUUCCUAAUAUUACUUUCUCUCAUUCAUUUUCAUCUUAUAACCUAUAAUUAUUAAAUUUCUUUUUACUUUUCAUUUCAUAUGUGUAAAUGCAAGUUGAAUUUCUUUUAUAGGGAUGUAAUUUGGAUGAAUUUUUACAUAUAACUAAUAUUACACUUACCCAAAUUAUGAUAAAUUUUGAUAUGUUGGAGAUACUAUUAGUUACCAAAUUCUUUCUUUUAAUUACACAAUACAUUUGCAUGUAUUCACAUGGAUCAUCAUACAUGUUUUAUGAUGAGUAUAUUGUAUAUAUAAUGUGCAUAUUAUAUGAUCACUAUUAUUAUUAGGCAGCACAAGUUGUCUAUACUUAAAAUGCAUAUAUCAUAUGUAAAUAGUAUUAACAUGCAUUGCAUGCAUGCCACUAGGCAUAUGACAUGUACGAAAAUGAAAUAAUACAUACUAUUGUAUGCAUAUAUCAUACAUAAAUUAUACGUUGCACGCAUAUUGGUAGGUAUAUUAUAUGUAAGGCAUAAAAUUUUUAAUAGCAUGUCAAAAUGGCAAUAAAAAGAGAUGUUUAAUGAUAAAGGGU